rnacentral:rRNA from 1 species
GACGUAGGGCGCGAGCGUUGUCCGGAUUUAUUGGGCGUAAAGAGCUCGUAGGCGGUCUGUCGCGUCGGCUGUGAAAACUCGGGGCUCAACCCCGAGCCUGCAGUCGAUACGGGCAGACUAGAGUGCUGUAGGGGAGACUGGAAUUCCUGGUGUAGCGGUGAAAUGCGCAGAUAUCAGGAGGAACACCGGUGGCGAAGGCGGGUCUCUGGGCCGAUACUGACGCUGAGGAGCGAAAGCGUGGGGAGCGAACAGG